rnacentral:rRNA from 1 species
UACGUAGGGUGCAAGCGUUAAUCGGAAUUACUGGGCGUAAAGCGUGCGCAGGCGGUGAUGUAAGACAGAUGUGAAAUCCCCGGGCUCAACCUGGGACCUGCAUUUGUGACUGCAUCGCUAGAGUACGGUAGAGGGGGAUGGAAUUCCGCGUGUAGCAGUGAAAUGCGUAGAUAUGCGGAGGAACACCGAUGGCGAAGGCAGCCCCCUGGGUCAAGAUUGACGCUCAUGCACGGAAAGCGUGGGGAGCAAACAGG